rnacentral:rRNA from 1 species
ACACGUAGGGGCCUGACGUUGUUCGGAAUCAUUGGGCGUAAAGGGCGCGCAGGCGGCCGUCCAAGUCCGGUGAUAAAUGGUCGGGCUCAACCCGAUCAUGCGCUGGAAACUGGGCGGCUUGAGUCCCGUAGGGGAUGCCGGAAUUCCAGGUGUAGGGGUGAAAUCUGUAGAUAUCUGGAAGAACACCGAUGGCGAAGGCAGGCAUCUGGCCGGAGACUGACGCUGAGGCGCGAAGGCGCGGGGAGCGAACAGGUUUAGAUACCCUGGUAGUCCGCGCAGUAAACGAUGCGCACCAGGUGUCGGGCGGCAGCGCCCGGUACCGGAGCUAACGCGAUGAGUGCGCCGCCUGGGGAGUAUGCUCGCAAGGGUGAAACUUAAAGGAAUUGACGGGG